rnacentral:other from 1 species
CGUCAUCUGCUGUGUUCGUGAUGCGCCAGAGGUUUUGAGCCAACACUUGAUUCAUUUGGGGAUUGGGUUCCUCUAGGAGCUGUAGUAACCCAUCAGGGUGAGGCAAAACCGCUGAGGUUAGAUCCCCACCUGCGAGAGCAGGUUCGAAACUAAAGCGCACACGGCAUGGCGGAGACGC